rnacentral:snoRNA from 1 species
GGAUGUGAUGAUAGUAUUUGUCGCCCCAGUCUUAAUAUGCACCACAAGGUGUAACAUGGUGACUGACAUUCUUAUCUGAUCC